rnacentral:rRNA from 1 species
UUGAGUACAGUAGAGGUGGGCGGAAUUCGUGGUGUAGCGGUGAAAUGCUUAGAUAUCACGAAGAACUCCGAUUGCGAAGGCAGCUCACUGGACUGCAACUGACACUGAUGCUCGAAAGUGUGGGUAUCAAACAGGAUUAGAUACCCUGGUAGUCCACACAGUAAACGAUGAAUACUCGCUGUUUGCGAUAUACAGUAAGCGGCCAAGCGAAAGCAUUAAGUAUUCCACCUGGGGAGUACGCCGGCAACGGUGAAACUCAAAGGAAUUGACGGGGGCCCGCACAAGCGGAGGAACAUGUGGUUUAAUUCGAUGAUACGCGAGGAACCUUACCCGGGCUUAAAUUGCAUUUGAAUAUAUUGGAAACAGUAUAGCCGUAAGGCAAAUGUGAAGGUGCUGCAUGGUUGUCGUCAGCUCGUGCCGUGAGGUGUCGGCUUAAGUGCCAUAACGAGCGCAACCCUUAUCUAUAGCUACUAUCAGGUCAUGCUGAGGACUCUAUGGAGACUGCCGUCGUAAGAUGUGAGGAAGGUGGGGAUGACGUCAAAUCAGCACGGCCCUUACGUCCGGGGCUACACACGUGUUACAAUGGGGGGUACAGAAGGCAGCUACCUGGCGACAGGAUGCUAAUCCCAAAAAUCUCUCUCAGUUCGGAUUGGAGUCUGCAACCCGACUCCAUGAAGCUGGAUUCGCUAGUAAUCGCGCAUCAGCCACGGCGCGGUGAAUACGUUCCCGGGCCUUGUACACACCGCCCGUCAAGCCAUGAAAGCCGGGGGUACCUGAAGUACGUAACCGCAAGGAGCGUCCUAGGGUAAA